rnacentral:rRNA from 1 species
GGGGAAUAUUGGACAAUGGGCGGACGCCUGAUCCAGCAACGCCGCGUGAGGGAUGACGGCCUUCGGGUUGUAAACCUCUUUCACCCAUGACGAAGCGCAAGUGACGGUAGUGGGAGAAGAAGCACCGGCCAACUACGUGCCAGCAGCCGCGGUAAUACGUAGGGUGCGAGCGUUGUCCGGAAUUAUUGGGCGUAAAGGGCUCGUAGGCGGUUUGUCGCGUCGGGAGUGAAAACACACAGCUUAACUGUGUGCUUGCUUUUGAUACGGGCAGACUGGAGGUAUGCAGGGGAGAACGGAAUUCCUGGUGUAGCGGUGAAAUGCGCAGAUAUCAGGAGGAACACCGGUGGCGAAGGCGGUUCUCUGGGCAUUACCUGACGCUGAGGAGCAAAAGUGUGGGGAGCGAAC